rnacentral:lncRNA from 1 species
UGGGUUGGAUUUUGUGAAUUAUCAUCUACGAACCUGAACCAACCCAAUCCAACAAUUUUUGGGUUGGAUUGGAUGGCCGAUUGAUUGGAUCAUUAUAUUAAAAUAAAAUAAAAAUCUGGAAUAUUGAAAAAUAUUAGAAAAUAAGUACUCAAAGUCUCUAACAUGCAAUUACAUCAUAAGUUCAUAACUACCGUCUACACACAUCUAUACAACAACACAUAACUAAACAACUAAAACAAGUACUUCAAGUAUUUAAAUAUGACAAGAAAACAAACAAAUUAGUCUCCAAGUCUCCUAAAAAUCACUCUAGUAAUAGGACUCCAAGUCUCCAUAAAUUACAUACCCUACUAGUAGGUUAG